AUUGGACGCUGGCGGCAUGCCUAACACAUGCAAGUCGAGCGGAUGAAGGGAGCUUGCUCCUGGAUUCAGCGGCGGACGGGUGAGUAAUGCCUAGGAAUCUGCCGGGUAGUGGGGGAUAACGUCCGGAAACGGGCGCUAAUACCGCAUACGUCCUGAGGGAGAAAGUGGGGGAUCUUCGGACCUCACGCUAUCAGAUGAGCCUAGGUCGGAUUAGCUAGUUGGUGGGGUAAAGGCCUACCAAGGCGACGAUCCGUAACUGGUCUGAGAGGAUGAUCAGUCACACUGGAACUGAGACACGGUCCAGACUCCUACGGGAGGCAGCAGUGGGGAAUAUUGGACAAUGGGCGAAAGCCUGAUCCAGCCAUGCCGCGUGUGUGAAGAAGGUCUUCGGAUUGUAAAGCACUUUAAGUUGGGAGGAAGGGCAGUAAGUUAAUACCUUGCUGUUUUGACGUUACCAACAGAAUAAGCACCGGCUAACUUCGUG
rnacentral:rRNA from 1 species